ACCGCGUUUGCAACAUGUGGCCCGAUCUUUUCUCUCUCUUCCGAAACCCUAGAGAAGGCAAUUUGGGAGGCGAUUUGGGAGGCGACGAAGAUUUGGGAGGCGACGAAAAGGAAUCGGGGAUAAUUGACUCUGCACUGAAUCCAGUAACAUACAAGAUUGGUACUGAUCAUUAUCUUUCAAUGCAGUUUCAUUUUAAUUUUCUACUGUAAUUAUCUAGAUAUCUAUGCUUUUAUGCUUUAAUUGUCCUGUGACUAUAUUUUUAUUUGCCUCUCAUAAUUCUUUUUAUUUAUUUGUUUUUUGUUUCAGUGAAAUUCUGUUUCCAGACAUAAUAUCUUUUGAUUUAGGUAAUCUUUGCCAUCCUUGUAUAUCUGAUAUUGUUUCAGCUAAUUGAUUAAUUGAUGAGCUUCUGAUUGUAUGUUUAUCUUGUUUGGAACCAUUAUUGAGUUUGACCUACUCUUCUAUAUCUUUUGCGUGUGUCCAUGAUAGUUUGCCACUAUUGUUUCUGUUGUACUCGUGUGGAAAUCAAACAACCUCUUAAGCUUCUUUUGGAUUUCUUGUCUGGUUGCUGAGAAUUUCACAUCUCCUUGGUAUUCCUCUUUUGUGGUGUCUUGGAUCUGCACUUCUGUACACAAAAUAUAUGUUUCCAUUUUGACUUCCCUAUCAAUUGAUCGAUCGAUCGUUCCAUCUGAUAUUAUCAGAGAAGAGCAAGCAACGUGUAUGGCGUCCUCUUCUCUCCUCAGAUCUACAGCCCCUGUUCUCCGAGCCUCAGGAGUUUCUUCACUCCUGCCAUCUGACGGAACAAGCAAGGUUGUUUUCCCUCCGAGUGUUUGAUAACAAAAAAAUUCAAUCCAACUUCUAUUUUUUAUUUAUUUUUAUAUAAUUUGUUUUUCUGAUCAUGUCAAGCUGCAUAUAUAUAUAUAUUGUUGAUUUUGGUUUUUGAUUAUUUGUUGUUGUAAGAGAUGGAUCUUUGACUUUCUAAGUACCUUUAUGAUUUUUUUUUUUGGAAUUAAUUUGAUUGUUGAUAUAUAGUAGCUUUCUUUGGUUUCAUUUGAUUUCAGAUAAAAUUAUAGUUGUAAUGAAUUUGAUCUCCAUUUUUUAAUU